UCCCCGCCCGAUCACGAAAUUGCAAGGCCCCAAUUCGCGCUUCGACUCAGUGGCUCCUCUUCGUGCAAGUGUUCCCAUCGCGGACUUGAAUGCCUCCCUCAAAACCUGCCCCUCAUAGCGCCGCGGAGCCCAGCAUCAUCCGAGUCGCACAGUCAAUGAUCAUCGUGUUUGGAAGUGUUUAGGUUACCAAGUUUCUCAGACUGGUUCCGAAUAAUUUGCGUCUUCGUUAGGACAUGAUGCGAUGUUGUGUACUGUGAUGGGAGAUCGGUGUAUUGCUCGUGAGUUUUUGUAAUUAAUCGUGCGAAUUUGUCGAUUUGUGAGUAGUGGACGGUGUGGCUGAGUUUUGGAUUUGGCGAGUGUUCUAAUAUUUGUUUAGUUUGAGAUCAUGUCAGCAUGUCGUGGGACUGGAUGAUCGAUGACUUUGACUGCACGAUGGUAGCGCACUGCGUGAAACCAAGGGGCUCGCAAGGUCUGCCGUGCGGGGCGAAGAUUGGAUCGAAGGAGAGGCAGAUUUUGCCCUGCGCGACGAAGAUAGGGUCGAGAUCGUCUGGGGUUCGGCUUGGCAGGCGACCUAGGUUGCGGAAGAGUGGCCAGCCGGAAAUGGACAAUGGGUUUGGGGAGAGGAAACUUGUGUAUAUGGAUGGGAUUAAUUGGCUGGGCUCGUUUUGGAACACUCGUGAGAUUAUGACGAAUCCGUGGAGAGCGCUGCGGAAUUCGGACAAGAAGGUUAGGCAGUUUGUACAUGCAGCUCGUUUAUCCAAUUUUGAGAUCGUACUCGUGGCGGAUGCCGACACGAAGACGGAGCAGGCACUUGGGAAGUGGCACAAGCGUCGCCAGGAGGAGAUUUUCAAGGAGAGGAAGAAAGUGUGUUUGGGGGUGGACAUCUUCCUCGUGGAAUCAUUCCAGAAGCACGGCAUUCGUGUGGUGAGGCCCCUGGGUGCGGAUGCAGACGACGUUCUGGCAGCUCUGGCCAUUGCAACUUCCGGAAUAGUGCUGAGUAGGGAUCGGGAUUUCUUCCGGUACGAUAGACCGAUUUGUGUAUGCAAUGGUUUCUCUGUGCGUGACGGUAAGCUGUUCUUGGAGCCCACGACGACAAUUGACACAUCUGCCAAACCUAGGUCUGUUACAAGAAGAGUGCAGCUGGAACUUGCACAUGCUGUCCUCAGCUAUGAGCAGAAUUGGUCACUUGGAGUGAUCACCAAGUACCGUCCCUCUCUGAUGAAUGGCAUGACACGUCGUGGUACAAGCAGCUCCUCUGAUAAGACUAUGGGGAACCUGCACGUCCUCGCGCGGCCAUUGCGUGCUGCCGUGUAUGCUAUACUAGGCGAGGAGUGGGCGGUGGAGGAGGUACCAGAGUGGUGCAAAGAGAACAAGAAAGUUGUGUGGACAGAAACAACAGUUGCUGCGGAUCCUGCCCUAGUUCCAGUGCUCAAUAAGCCGCAAGCCGUGGUCGCGUGGUUAGUAGAGCGUGACACAUUGCUGGAGACGUUAGAGCCCUGGCGAGCAGCGGAACGAAAAUUCAACAUCUGCGCUCUGGCUGCAGAGAUGAUCGUGGUCUCGUCCCAGGGCGCAUGGACCAUGCGGAAGUGCAUGGAAUUAUUUCACAGACAGGUUAACACGAUACCGCCCCGCAGGCAUCAUAAUUUUGAGCGUUUUCGUGCACCGUCUUCAAGAGCCCUAAUCAGGCCAGGAGUUGGCGCCCAGGUAUUUGGAAAUCGUGCUCGCGAUCAAGAUUUCGGCAAGCAAGUGGCCGAUGUAAAAAGAUUGGUGCAGCGUUUGAACGCACCCUCACAGCCGCAGCUACAGAAGUCAGAAGCGAUAGUUCCUUCAGCCCAAUGGCUUCCCUUAAACACUUCAUGUCGUGGUUGCAAGCAUCAGAUAUUGCCCUAUCAACCCCAUACAUCGAUCAUGCGGCGUGGAUUCAUAAUCCCAUUACGAAUUUAGAAUGCAAGCAACCGGUGGAUUGUAUAUCAGGAACUGACCACAUUAUACCUUGUGCCUGGAACUUAUCUACCUCGGAUUCUGCCUUGCAGUUCGGGAUUGAUAUGGUUUUUGAGUUGCCCUUUGGCCGCUGUCGCGGUGGGUAUCAUGAAACGUUCAUUCCAGCGCCGGUGGGAUCGGCCGGAGGCACUCCUCUUCCCGCAGCGGUGGAAAAUUGCUGAGCGCAAUGGGAGUUCAAUAAAUUGGAUCAUAACUGUGGACAGUUUUUUGUUUUGUUGUGAAUUGGAAGUUACUCUCGAAGUAAAAGGGUUCCUUCUUUGACAAGUUCGAGGCUGCUCCAGUGACGUUUUCCAUCUGUUGUUGGAUUUCUGCUAAACAUGGGUGCAAGCAGUAAGAGCAAUUCUGGAUUUGACAUGUAGCUCGAAUUUGGCGCUCGCCUCCACCCCAGCGCAUCAAAGCGCGUAGCUGGCGUCCCAGCUUUUGAGCAGUGCAUCUGUCAACUAUGGGCUAGUCUACCUUAAAAACCUCUAUGACGUCUUUUUCGCCAGCGACAACCUUCAGUGGUCUGAGGGUUGGGUGGUCUAUGGAACGUCUUGGUUCUGUCGGAUAAGAACAUGGGUGCUGUGAGUUUUAUUUUUCUAUCGCACUUUGGGAACGGUGGAUCUGCUGGGGGAGCGUUAGCAUCUAAGAUUGGUGUUUGUGCCAAAAUUCCUCGAACAAUUACUGGGGAUAAAGUGAAAUUGAAAUCAUAGCUGGAUUAGCAAGUGUCGGUUUCUUACCGCAUCUUGUUAGGCAUGCAUGUCCAAGAAAGUCAAAUCUACCAUGCAUGGAAUAAGAAGGAUUUGUUGAAGGUCAUUGGACAAAGAGCUAAAACUGUUAAAGAAAUGUAAAACAUUGGGUUAAGUGGACACAACGAGUGCGCUCUCAACUGUAAGCGCAUGGAAGAGGGAGGUACCUGGGGGAAGUUUUAAGUUGGAAUAUGUCUAUAACAAUGAGUUGGAAUAAGUUUUAUAACAAUUGUAUUAAAUCUUGAAAAGACUAUAUUAUAAGGCUGGGAGUUAAAUGAGUAUCAUAUUGGCAUUGUUAGAGGUGCCAAUUACCAAUUCAAGUUAAUGUAUUUUGUCAACUGACUUGUUUAUUAAAAAAUAAAUGUAUCUUGGUUUCAAGACAA